rnacentral:ncRNA from 2 species
UAAUGACACAAAGCUUUACGACGUAUAGGUCCGCAACAUCGGCGCGGACGUCUCUACCCGCCGGCCUGUCGGCGGACUACCUCGGAAGUGUUUUUUUAU